AUUGAACGCUGGCGGCAUGCCUUACACAUGCAAGUCGAACGGCAGCACGGGGCAACCUGGUGGCGAGUGGCGAACGGGUGAGUAAUGCAUCGGAACGUACCUUUCAGUGGGGGAUAACGUAGCGAAAGUUACGCUAAUACCGCAUAUUCUGGGAGCAGGAAAGCAGGGGAUCGCAAGACCUUGCGCUGAUUGAGCGGCCGAUGUCAGAUUAGCUAGUUGGUGAGGUAAAGGCUCACCAAGGCGACGAUCUGUAGCGGGUCUGGGAGGAUGAUCCGCCACACUGGAACUGAGACACGGUCCAGACUCCUACGGGAGGCAGCAGUGGGGAAUUUUGGACAAUGGGGGCAACCCUGAUCCAGCCAUGCCGCGUGAGUGAAGAAGGCCUUCGGGUUGUAAAGCUCUUUCGGCCGGGAAGAAAUCGCACGGGCUAAUACCCUGUGUGGAUGACGGUACCGGAAUAAGAAGCACCGGCUAACUACGUGCCAGCCGCCGCCGUAAAAC
rnacentral:rRNA from 1 species